rnacentral:rRNA from 1 species
AGUGAACGCUGGCGGUAGGCCUAACACAUGCAAGUCGAACGGCAGCACAGUAAGAGCUUGCUCUUACGGGUGGCGAGUGGCGGACGGGUGAGGAAUACAUCGGAAUCUACUUUUUCGUGGGGGAUAACGUAGGGAAACUUACGCUAAUACCGCAUACGACCUACGGGUGAAAGCAGGGGAUCUUCGGACCUUGCGCGAUUGAAUUAGCCGAUGUCGGAUUAGCUAGUCGGCGGGGUAAAGGCCCACCAAGGCGACGAUCCGUAGCUGGUCUGAGAGGAUGAUCAGCCACACGGGAACUGAGACACGGUCCAGACUCCUACGGGAGGCAGCAGUGGGGAAUAUUGGACAAUGGGCGCAAGCCUGAUCCAGCCAUACCGCGUGGGUGAAGAAGGCCUUCGGGUUGUAAAGCCCUUUUGUUGGGAAAGAAAAGCAGCAGGUUAAUACCCCGCUGUUCUGACGGUACCCAAAGAAUAAGCACCGGCUAACUUCGUG